rnacentral:tRNA from 1 species
ACCGGCUCGGUAGCGUAGUUGGUUAGAGCGCGCGAUGGCAACUGUGAAUCGUAGCUGCGGGUUCGAAUCCCUCCACCGGUA